UGGGGAAUAUUGCACAAUGGGGGAAACCCUGAUGCAGCGACGCCGCGUGAGCGAAGAAGGUUUUCGAAUCGUAAAGCUCUGUCCUAUGAGAAGAUAAUGACGGUAUCAUAGGAGGAAGCCCCGGCUAAAUACGUGCCAGCAGCCGCGGUAAUACGUAUGGGGCGAGCGUUGUCCGGAAUUAUUGGGCGUAAAGGGUACGUAGGCGGUCUAUUAAGUCAGGUGUGAAAGCGUGAGGCUUAACCUCAUUAAGCACUUGAAACUGAUAGACUUGAGUGAAGGAGAGGAAAGUGGAAUUCCUAGUGUAGCGGUGAAAUGCGUAGAUAUUAGGAGGAAUACCGGUGGCGAAGGCGACUUACUGGGCUCAUUCUGACGCUGAGGAACGAAAGCGUGGGUAGCAAACAGG
rnacentral:rRNA from 1 species